UGCCACAACACAGUAAAAACCCUACUUGGUGGCCAUCUGUUCAAGGCCGUAUUAGAAGGGAACAAGAAAGAAGCAGAAAGACUGUUGGCAGUUGGUGCAGACCCAGACAGUCACGGUGGAAAGCUGGUGAAUGGAGUGUUGGCACGAGAGCUUGGAGUGACUACAGCUGGCCUCCUUGCCAGUGCCCUGAAUAUGGAAUGGGCUGUAACCAUGUUUGCCAAGAAUGCAAGAAAUGAUAAAAACGGUGAAACUGGCCUUCUGACAUCAGCUGUCUCAAACUCUGUGCAGCUUAAAGUUCCCUCACGACAAUUUCGUGUGAGACAUGCAACGGCAAUUCAAGGAGGUGCUGAUGUGUACAAGAUGGACAAGGAGGCACGAGGCUUUGUUCGCAUCUU